GAUGAACGCUGGCGGCGUGCUUAACACAUGCAAGUCGAACGGAGGAGCGAUUUCGGGUUGCUCUUCAGUGGCGCACGGGUGAGUAACACGUAGCUGACCUGCCCUCAAGAGUGGGAUAACGGUUCGAAGGACUGCUAAUACCGCAUAAGCUCACGUGCUUUAGAGGCGCGAGAGAAAGGCGAAGCCGGAAGGACGAAGGCGCUCAGCGUUGUAAACUUCUUUGGA
rnacentral:rRNA from 1 species